AUUGAACGCUGGCGGCAUGCCUUACACAUGCAAGUCGAACGGUAACAGGUCUUCGGAUGCUGACGAGUGGCGAACGGGUGAGUAAUACAUCGGAACGUGCCCGAUCGUGGGGGAUAACGGAGCGAGAGCUUUGCUAAUACCGCAUGCGAUCUACGGAUGAAAGCAGGGGACCGCAAGGCCUUGCGCGGACGGAGCGGCCGAUGGCAGAUUAGGUAGUUGGUGGGAUAAAAGCUUACCAAGCCGACGAUCUGUAGCUGGUCUGAGAGGACGACCAGCCACACUGGGACUGAGACACGGCCCAGACUCCUACGGGAGGCAGCAGUGGGGAAUUUUGGACAAUGGGCGCAAGCCUGAUCCAGCCAUGCCGCGUGCAGGAUGAAGGCCUUCGGGUUGUAAACUGCUUUUGUACGGAACGAAAAGACUCUGGUUAAUACCUGGGGUCCAUGACGGUACCGUAAGAAUAAGCACCGGCUAACUACGUGCCAGCCGCCGCCGAAACAC
rnacentral:rRNA from 1 species